GAAACCUUACGACAAAACAAAAUGACCCAGUGAGAGACACUGAUCCGAGCCGGGUGAGCUUAAAGAUAGCCUGGUGAAGUUAAUGCUUUGUUUACUUUUCUCAUGCUGUUGCGACCUCUCUCUUUCUCUCUCUCUCUCUCUCUCUCUCCGUUCCUGUUCUCUUGGCAGCAGGAGUAAAGUAGGCAGGCGUAUGAGGGCAUAGCUGAAUUUGCUGGCAAGGGGGCUCAAGCUUCAGCUUUUGCGUGAAAAGGGUUCGUUGCGCACCUUUUUGUGCUUUAACCUUGUCUUGCACCACAUGGAAUGGUCUCCGUUUUCCUUCAUUUUUCCAGCGUUUCUGGAGUCUCGCACCAUGGAAGUCAUCCAGCAGGAACAAAGUCACAGAGCUUUUAUCGGGAAACGUAUUUCAGUCAUCACCUUCAAUUACAAAGCAGUAAGACCAUAAACAACAUCACAGUAUGGAAAACAACCCGAGACUCGGAUAUCCAGCUGUUGUUCGCCUGUGCCUGACACAAACCAGUCUGGAGUACCAGAGCAACUAAACCCCUGGCAUGUUUGUCGCUGUCCCUGAAGUUGAGGUAGUAGAUUGAAUAGUUGUGGAGUGUGAAAUCUCCCUUUGAGAUAACUAUACAAUCUACUGUCUUUCUGAAGGAGACGGAUUCAACAACUGUCCACCAAAGAAACAGACCUUGUGCACGUACGCUUCUUCAACAAGACACAUCUGAAACUGAGAUUGUGUUACUGUGAAGUGAAACUGGAGGUCAGUGUGCAUCACAAGAUGAGGUAGUAGGUUGUAUAGUUUAAAGGACGGAUCGAAUCCUGUUCAGGUGAUAACUAUACAGUCUAUUGCCUUCCUUUGAGAGACACGAUGAGCAGCCAAAGAAAAAAGUUAUCAGGGCGUCGCAAACCCAAGACUGUGAACUUUAAAACACCAAAUGUAUUCAAAAUUGAUUCAUAAUUAUUAAAAUGACAUUGUUUCUGUGGUUGACACGGGCAUACUUUAUUUUUUAGCGCUGUGUUUUAACAAAUAAAAUAUUUUCAUACAUAAA